AUACGGAGGGUGCAAGCGUUGUUCGGAUUUACUGGGCGUAAAGCGCGCGCAGGCGGAUCAGCAAGUCAGAUGUGAAAUCCCGGGGCUCAACCUCGGAACUGCGUCUGAAACUGUUGAUCUAGAGUCUCAGAGGGGGUGGGAGAAUUUCACGUGUAGGGGUAAAAUCCGUAGAGAUGUGAAGGAACACCAGUGGCGAAGGCGCCCACCUGGAUGAGUACUGACGCUGAGGCGCGAAAGCGUGGGGAGCAAACAGGAUUAGAUACCCUAGUAGUCC
rnacentral:rRNA from 1 species